ACUAACUCAAGCCUCCAAACUUUCUUUUUCACAGGGAGAACCCGGUGCCCCUGGUGAAAAUGGUACCCCCGGACAACCUGGUGCUCGUGGUCUCCCUGGUGAGAGAGGAAGAGUAGGUGCCCCUGGACCAGCUGGCGCUCGGGGAAGCGACGGCAGCACCGGCCCCACCGGACCUGCUGUGAGUUCCACUCUUUGACA